rnacentral:rRNA from 1 species
AACGCGAAGAACCUUACCCAGGUUUGACAUGUAGUAGACAGCUCUAGAGAUAGAGUCUUCCGCAAGGACUGCUACACAGGUGCUGCAUGGCUGUCGUCAGCUCGUGCCGUGAGGUGUUGGGUUAAGUCCCGCAACGAGCGCAACCCUUGUCAUUAGUUGCCAACACGUAAAGGUGGGAACUCUAAUGAGACUGCCUAGGUUAACUAGGAGGAAGGUGAGGAUGACGUCAAGUCCGCAUGGCCCUUAUGUCUGGGGCUACACACGUGCUACAAUGGUCGGUACAAUGGGCAGCUAAGCCGAAAGGUGGCGCAAAUCCAAAAAGCCGACCCCAGUUCAGAUUGUGGUCUGCAACUCGACCACAUGAAGCCGGAAUUGCUAGUAAUGGCGCGUCAGCAACAGCGCCGUGAAUACGUUCCCGGGCCUUGUACACACCGAGUAUA